AGGAGCAACAUCAGAAAUGACCUUGGAACCAACGUCUUGAGACUCACCGUGUAAUUCAAGAAGCUUUUGGGCGUCGUGCUUGGGAGCCUUCAAGAUCUUUACCUUACGAACGAAAACGUUUUGCAAGGGAUAAAUGUUGUUGGUGGCCUUCUCGAUAGCCCGGCCAAUAACCUCAGGAAUGAGCUUUUGGACAAGCUCCUUCAUGGAACAACCGUUGGCUUGGUUUUGGAUGACCUGGAACAUCUUUUGGUGAAUGGCACGAAUUUGAGAAGAU